rnacentral:miRNA from 1 species
ACGGAGGAAGUAGUCCUAGCC